UUUCAUAUAUGUUCUGACGAUUUUUAUUCUGAAGAGUGUUAAACGAAAAGUUUUAGUAUGUUUCAUAAUGUUUGCUUUUUUCAAAGCCACUUCAUCAUGCCAUUAAAGACUCUUCAAAGAACAUACAUACGGAAUGAUCAUUAUAUAACAUGAAAUCUACCAAUCAGUGGCAUAGCGUCCGGGUAUUCAAGGUAUUCAGUGAAUACCCUGAGAUUUCUGGGUAAAAAUAUCAAUACGACGUAUAAUUAUGAUAACUAAAAAAUGCUUUAGGGCUACUUUAUUCUGGUUGAUUUCGUUACCUUUGAUGUUCUACAUUUUCUACAAGUACAAAAUAUCACGAAAUGCAUGGGAACCAUAACGCUGCGAAGCAUAGAGAAGCUGAGAGAUCUUUGAAGCUAAUUUUGAAGAUUGAGCUACUUUAUGUUGAAUGGAGAUCGGUCAGGAAUACGCAGUGAAUACCCUAGAAGGUAUUUUAACCAAUCAAAAUGCUCCUUUCCAUGAAUAAUAUUUGCUCUUAAUCAGCUAAAACAAUUGUCAUGUACGCUGAGAAAUAUGCAGCGUACAGCCUCAAAGUUGGUUCAAAAUAGUCUCGUUUUGAGAUCGAUAUAAACAGUUAAUGGACGUCGGAGCUGUUGGGGUGAUGCAGUUUCAUUGAAAACAGUAAAUAUGACUUAAUUCAAAGCUCUUGCAAUGUCCGUAUUACUGUUUCGUAAUCAUUCUCUCAUUUGACCCCUAAUCUUCAUUUACCCCGUAUUGAAGCGGGCUACCGUUUCUGCGAAUCUGGUCGCGCGAUCGCGCGACUGUUGUUCUAGACGUGCGCAACUAACCCAGUAGCAGUGAUUCCUCAUUGCCCUGGCGAUCGCGCAACUGCUUUUGGGAGUUGAAUAGAUUUUAACUUUUCUCUGACCAGAUUCUCACGAACCAAUAAGAUGCUUUAUUUUUCUUGUCUGGUUUACGUCGUAAAAUGCCUUAUCACCCUGUCUUGUUUUCUUUGGCGCUUAUCCAAAAAAUCAACACUACGCUCUUCUACGCUGAGAAUCUCGUUUAAACGAUGGUAAAAAUAACAAUUAGGCCAGAAGUCAUGUCGAUUUUACGCCAGUUUCAGCAAAGUUAAUCCCUUACAAUAAAUCUUGGGUUUGAAAAUGGAAGCACGGGCAAUACGGAAUCGCAGACGGAAUGGUCUGAAGAAUUAUCUAUUGAGGAACUUAAAUCCUGGUUUCCAUAUAGCCUUAAGGCUGCCUGCGACUGCCUGCGACUGCUUUCUGCCAUCUUCCAUCUUCCACCCUUACAGUAGCGCCGGCAAAUAGAAACGUUCUGUUUUCAAUUGCGUGCAGGAUCGGUAACUAUGCCGGUAACUUGGUAAAGUUUGAGUGGGAAAAUCUGGCGGGCAAAAUUCAACAACAAAGCCCUGUUUUCUAUUGGUUCUUGCACAUCACAUGAUCCGUUUGAACAAAAGAAUGCCGCAGGCAGCCGCAGGCAAGGCGUUUCCAUUUGUAAUUUGUUUGCCGGCGGUACCGGGAGGCUGCCGUAAGAGCCGGGAAAAGUUGAACUCGUUCAACCUUUUCCCGGCUCUCCCGGCAGUCUUACGGCACUUCAAACAGCUGCCUGCGGUACCGUUAGAAAGCGUUUCCAUAAAGAAUUAUCUGCCGGCGAUACCGUAGGGAUGGAAGAUGGAAGAUGGCAGAAAGCAGUCGCAGGCAGCCUUACGGCUAUAUGGAAACCAGGCUUAAACAAUAUCGUUGUUUAUGGGAUACCUCAUGCCGAUCUUAUAAAGAUGGCCCUAAAAAGCAGCAAUCUUGGCGGGAACUGAAUCAGAAAUUUAAAAAAGAGGAGGACACCUUAAAGAAAGUUUGGAAAAAUCUAAAGGAUUGCUUCACAAAGUCCAUCAAAAAAAGGUGCUUGAGUUCGAAUUGAAGAGGAAUUGGGUACUUUGAUUAAUUGCAAGUAAACAUAGAGUCAGUUUUAAUCUCGAGGAAAUAUCACGUACAAAAAGCCAUCUUCGCAAUCAUCAACAUCUACAAUAGAAAGCAUCCCAUUAGUUGCCAGGUUUGCAAAUGAUGGUAACAGAACUGGGGUAUGGCAAGGAUGCAGUAUCAAAAAAGCUGACGUGACACCCUGGUGGCAAGUGGACCUUACAAGGCAAGCUGCGGUCGCAAGUGUCCAGAUAAGAAGUGGCGCAACUUGGGGUCAAUUGAAAAUCAAUCCAUCCGAUGUCAGUGUUGGGGAUGAUAGAUCAAAUGGUGGACGAAACAAUGUACUGUGUGUGAAAGAUGGAACAUUGGAAAUCGGUGAAUUAAAAAAGUUCGAUUGUCCACUGGUCCUGAUGGGUCGCUACGUUAGUGUCUAUUUGAACAGGAAAGAAAUUCUUCAAGUAUGCGAGGUUGAGGUUUAUGAAGAUGUAUUCUGAAAAAAGGCUUCAGAAAUCGCGAUUCGUUCUCUAUUUCCUGGCAAGCACGAAUGCAUUUGAAGAGAAAAGCAAUAUAUCUAGCUACUAGCAGCCAUAGAGGAUUUGCAUGAUGAAUUCAAAAUGCACAAACAAUUCAUGCUUUUACAUGAAAUGCACAUGAAGCCGGAAAAUGUAUACAGUUGUAAUUUAUAUUGUUUGAUUUUCAUAACUAUUCAGUACUGUAAUUAUGAAGAGUGAGGUAGGAGGCACAAAUCUUUUAGUUGUGACUUUUGCUAAAAGCAUGAGAUUUCCAUAACAAAAAAUCAACUUUAUUCCCGAAAUUUUUCCGGAUGUAAUAAGUAUUGUAUUUUCAGGGUUUUUUGUCUAUUCAGUACAGUAAUUAUGAACAGUAGGGUCGAAGGCAGAAAUUUCUUUAGCUGUGACUUUUGCUUAUUCAAGAAAUUUAAAUUACAAAAAACUACUUUUUUCCGAAAAGAUUCUUUAUAAAAACUCUUUUAAGGACGGAAAGCUUGAUGUUUUCUGACUAAGAAAGAAAAAAAAUCUCUAUUGUUUUGACUUUGUUGUAUAUAGCAAAGCAAAGACCACGAUAUAGUGUCAGAAAGUGAUCUGAAUUAAAGUGUUGUUAUUUGACUUAAGCUAUUAUAGUGUUGUUGAUCAUAUGUCGUAAUAUUUUCUGGGCUUUGUUUAGCAGUUCAGGGUUGAUAUUCUUCAGAAAAUUCAAUUCAAGCUUAAAGAAUCCUCAUUAAAAGUAAAGCUUACUAACUUAAAAGACAAGGCCAGAAGGAUUUUAUCAAUAUAUUCCUACGCUGCAAUAAUUAUCUACGAUUCGUGGAUCAUUUAAUAAUAUUAAAGAGUGAAGUACAAGAGUUUGUUUUCCAGUUUCCACAACCUUUCUAUUUGCUAUCCUUUACUAAUGGAACACUUUUUUCAACUUCCGUGUUGCUUUAUAUAGUAGUGUGUUGCUCGAUCUUGGCUCAUACUACUCUUAUAGCAGCAGCAAAAUGCAUCUAAAGAGACAGAAAAACUAAUUGCAAAAGCACACAAAUGGACCAAGGCAAAGUAUGUUAAAUCUAAUUACGCAAAGCAAAGUAGA